CUGUGUUUCUCUGAGGUGGCAUGAGACCUAUAUUGACUUUGGCUUUAUAAUUCCAAAGCUGAUCAAACCUUUUGAACAAGGGCUUCACUUUUGAGGUUCUCCUACCCUUUCAGUCAACCACAUGAGCCUUGAACACCAGUAGUGGUACAGCUUAUUCUGAGGCACAGUUGUGUAUGGCCUGCUAUUGUGUGGAGGAGUAUGUAAACUGGAAUAUUACUCUAACAUUGGUUUUAGAAGAGGAAUAGAAAUGAAUAUAGAUCUGUGACCCUUAGUAAACCCCAAUGAAAACUGUAAAAGAUUGAAAAUAAUCUUCUAGUGAUUCUUUCUUUUAAACCAGUUGAUCAGAACAGAUUUGUGACCUUAUAAUAAAUCUGACCAGAAUUUGAACUGAUGUUAGAUGGAAUCAAGUGCUAACCUCACCUCCAUGAAUCCACAAUGGACCAGGGAGGGCACUUUCUCGGGUAAUGUUUAAUUUAUCCAGAUCUAAGCAGGCAGGGAAAAAAUCCACAUAGUUCAUAAUCUUGUUUUUCCCUAAAAUAUUAUGCACCCUUUCAAUACUUAUUACAGAUCUGCCUUCUACCUGGCUUGAGAAGCAAUGGGUUUAAACAUCAUCACUAGAUUCAAUGAAUAAACUAUGGUUUGCUUCUUUUUGCAAACCAGUCUCUUGUUAUUUUAGCUGGUUCGUUCAGAUGUAAAUUGAUAGCCUCAAGUCUCCAGAGAUGACCCCAACUCUACAAACAUUUCCAUCUACUCAAUAUUGGUUGGCAGUACCUCCCUCAGCCAUUAGAUCUUCUUAAGUGUAAUUCUUUCAGUCUAUGUGAGGGUGGCCACUUACUUGUAGCCAGAAAGUGGGGAAAUGUGAUGUAAGAAAAUGCUACUGAUUAACAUAGAAGCUGCAUGUGCUAAUUUAUUUCGAUAAAUACAAAUUUUGAAAUGAUUACUGUAAUUAACGAACCGCGUCUCACCAAAGGAAGGAAAAAUGUGACUCGCUGUCUUGGGUGCCUGAUUAGUGUGUUCAUGGAUAAUGGAAAACUUUAACAGCCUUGGUCUCCCUCCCUUAUAAUUUUUUAUCUUUUUAAGGGAAACAAGAUUGAAUAGACCUUCAAGUUAAUGUCUUCAACUGUAAGACUGCCCUCUCUGGAAUAGGACAUGUAGACCCUUAUCCUGAGAAUUCAACACAUUUCUGGACUCUCCCGUAGGUGGAGGAGAGGUCUGAUUUUGCAAACCAAUCCAUCUGGGUUUUCUGUCUGUCUUGAACAUAUGAACUGACCUUUCAUGGACUCAGAUGACUGGCCUGUCUACCAGCAUUUUCCCCGCCCAGAAGCAGAUGAAGAGCCCUCCCUCCGUUCCAAUUGCUACUGCCCUGGCCUCAGAGGGAGAGAAGAACCUGCAGGAUCUGCUUGGACUUAAUCUCCCACCAUCCUGUCAUCCGCUUUUCCUUUUGUGUCAUGCCUAAAUUAGAUUGUAAACCUGAUUGCAAGGAGCUAGCUGUUUUGUUGUUCCUUUACUAGUAAAGCACCAUGUACAGUGAUAACGCUAUAUUAAUAAACGUUUUGAUGAUAAUAAUAAUGUAUUUUCUUCUAUAUCUAUGUCCUCAGUUGAUGCAAUUUGUCAUGAACAUUAAAAUGUUGUUCUUUUCACUUACUUGUUCCUUUAGGGUCCUCAACUCAGUUCCACAUAUACCUUCAACACUUUUUAACUUAUCUUACCUCCCUGGAAAGGGGGGGGGGGGGGGUUAAAUCUUAAUUGUGGAGCUAAACACACUGACACACCAGAAAAUUGUAUUUCUUGAAGCUUCUGUGCCAACUCCUUGAUAACCUUAACUAGUGGACACAUUAAAGGGGUUCUUUAGCUUGGAGUGAAAAACAUUGUUCAUUUGAAGGUCAGUAAGAUAAUUGUAGGGUUUCUUUCAGUAUUUUAAACAUGAACAUAGUCAAAGGAAGGGUGGAGAAAUUCCAAGUUUAAAAGUCUUCCCAGAGGUAGCUUUAAAAAGUGCCAGCAAUAAAAUGAAUAUGUUAUUUACCUAAUAUAUCCUUUUCUAAACAAAGCACAAUAAUUCCAGAAAGUAAGGUUGACUUACAUAGAAGCCCAGUUUGGUUGACCAGUCCGAGUGUCCAAAAUCAUGAACACUGAAGCUGAGUCAGGCAGCUGCCCUGACCACUUCUCUGUUGAAUCUUCAUUCUUCUAAAUACAUGCUGGGUUUGAUGGCUACCAACCACAUCCUGGCUUAUUCUAAGCUAUAGUUUCCUGUUUUAUCUGCACACAUCCUUGCUUAUUUUUCUGGUUGAAUAACUGACCUUGGGUUCCAGGAUACACCCCAAAUUCCACGGUAAAACUAAAUAUACCAGAAUUGGAAAUUCCAAGGUAAAGCUGGCAUGCAGCAGGAACAAAGGCUUGGGUGAAAGAUGAGCAAUUUGCCUAAAUAUCCAUUGCCCUCUAAUAUAUUAAUAAUGUGUGGUCCUCCUCAGAGGUAAACUGCAUUGGAUUCAAUGGAACUUGCUCCCAGGCGAUUGAACAUAUAACGGCAACCUCAGGUGCUUUUGAAAAUCCACUGUCCGUCUUGUUCUCCUCUUCUUUCUCCUUUGGUUUAAGGAAGUUUCCUGUUUUCCUCCCUUUGAAUUAAGAACUUUCUAUCCUAGGUCUAAAAACAAGUUAUGAGAUUCAUAACCAGUUUCACAUGAGAGAAAUAAGUGGAAAUGAAUGAAAAUGAAUUAUCUUGAUCAGUAAUGAGGGAUAUAGAAGAAAAGCUUCAUGGUAAAUGCGGAAGCAAUGUAGAGUGUGCUUACUACAUUGUUUCAUUGUCUAGUUUUUUUAUUGUUAUAAUCUAGUGAUUUAUAUAUUUUCUCAAGCCAUUAUGUAACACUGC